rnacentral:misc_RNA from 1 species
GCUAUUGUUGAUGGUGCUCUGCACAAGGGUGACAAGAUUUGCUCUGCUGCGACUGGCCAAAGUUAUGAAGUUUCUGAUGUUGGUAUCAUGCACCCAGAACUUGUGGCAACAGGAAUCCUUUUAACAGGUCAAGUUGGAUAUAUAGUUAGCGGAAUGCGUUCAACAAAAGAGGCCCGUGUUGGAGAUACUCUACAUCAUACACGAACAGUUAUACAGCCCCUUCCAGGUUUCAAGCCAGCAAAACAUAUGGUCUUUUCUGGCCUAUAUCCAGCUGAUGGAUCUGAUUUUGAGGCACUUAACCAUGCCAUAGAGAGACUGACGUGUAAUGAUGCCAGUGUCUCUGUAACUAAAGAAAGCAGCACAGCUCUAGGUCUGGGUUUCAGAUGUGGUUUCUUGGGCUUACUUCACAUGGAUGUUUUUCAUCAGCGACUUGAGCAGGAACAUGGAGCACAUGUCAUUUCGACUGUUCCUACAGUGCCAUAUAUUUUUGAGUACUCAGAUGGAAGCAAAUUACAGAUCCAGAAUCCUGCUGCUUUGCCUUCAAACCCCAAAAAUCGGCUCACUGCCUGCUGGGAACCUACUGUGAUAGCAACUAUUAUAAUCCCUAGUGAGUAUGUGGGGUCUGUUAUCACUUUAUGUGCUGAGCGUCGGGGGGAGCAAUUGGAGUACUCAUUUAUUGAUAGCCAGCGAGCUUUCAUGAGGUAUCGCAUGCCUCUGAGGGAAAUUGUUGUGGACUUCUACAAUGAAUUGAAAAGUAUAACAUCAGGAUAUGCUUCGUUUGAUUAUGAGGAUUCAGAAUAUCAGGCUUCAGAUUUGGUGAAGUUGGAUAUUCUCCUUAAUGGCCAACCAGUUGAUGCCAUGGCAACCAUUGUCCACAAAUCAAAAGCUCCACGUGUCGGCCGCGAACUUGUUGAGAAGCUUAAAAAGUUUAUAGACAGGCAGAUGUUUGAAAUUAUCAUACAAGCUGCUAUUGGAUCUAAGGUCAUCGCCCGGGAGACGCUUUCUGCUAUUGGAUCUAAGGUCAUCGCCCGGGAGACGCUUUCUGCUAUGAGAAAAAAUGUUCUGGCAAAGUGUUAUGGUGGUGAUGUUACAAGAAAGAGGAAGUUGUUGGAGAAACAGAAAGAAGGGAAGAAGCGAAUGAAGCGAGUGGGAUCCGUCGAUAUACCCCAAGAGGCAUUCCACGAGUUACUCAAGGUCUCAUGAAGACUAUCUUAAAUGCCUUCUAGAUUUCUACUUCUAGUCACAAAAGGUAAAUGAAGGAUUCCCCUCUAUUUCUUCCCAGUUAGUAAGUGUAUUUGUUUUGUCCCUUUAGGGGCAGGUUCUUGAUAAUUGAAUAUUGAUAGAAGUUUUAGCAGACAGGCGAGACGCUGAUGAAUAGAAAAUGGGAA